ensembl:rRNA 5S_rRNA 5S ribosomal RNA
GUCUACGGCCAUACCACCCUGAAUGCACCCGAUCUUGUCUGAUCUUGGAAGCUAAGCAGGGUUGGGCCUGGUUAGUACUUGGAUGGGAGAAAUUCUCCACCCAUUUGAAAAGCAUGUCUUUAUGCGGCUAUAGACA